UGUCAUUUGUGCCGCAACUGCGAACUUCUCUGGCUUGAUCAUUGAGAAACAGGGAACCAGCUCCAGGAAUAUCAGAUUGACUCAAGAGGGGAAUCGCAGUGAAGCGACGAGGGAUAAAGUGAACUUGUGAAUCAAGGAGGAAGAACUAGAAUGUGAAUUUGAAGAAGUGCAGAAGGUUCACUGUAUGAUUUUGAUUCUGUGUAUCAAAAUCCAAUUCAAAGAAAAAGAUCCAUGAUCAAAGGCCAAUGGAAAUCAGCAGCAAGAAGCCUGUUGGCAGGUUUAGGGAGGUUAUUCAAGCACUUAAAAGGGUUCAGGAAGAGAUAUAGUUUCUUAUUUGAGACAGGAUUUCCUGCUGAGACCUGAGAGAAAGAUGAUUCCCUUGGCAGUAGUAUGCUGAUCCAUUUGGAGGGAGAGAAAUGGAAGGCCCUUUGAAGUCUUUCAUCUCCAGUUGAGAAGAUUUGUGGAAAGGUAGAAAGGCUGAUAACAGAUGAGCUUCAGUCAGCAGUGCUUUCAUAGGGUUUACCACCGUAUACUUUGGGUUAGUGACACUUAGCCCCCUGAACUUUCAUUUGCAACAAAGACCCCCUGAGCUUUUAGAUUCUAACAUCCCCCCCCCCAUUAGCAUUGCAUCAGUUAACUUCAAAAAAAAAAAAAGAUUCGCAUUUGACUGUUAUGUGCUUGUUAAACAUUUCUAAAUCCCCAAACUACCCUUAAUUUGUUGGACCAUUUUGCUCUCCUUUACAUGCUUGUGUAUGUAUGUUUCUUGCUUCUUUCUCAUAGUCAAAUGAGCAAAGCAUAGAUCAAUUUAAUUAUCAAUGAAGGUGAGAUCAACUGGUUUUCCCUA